rnacentral:lncRNA from 1 species
UGUAAUGUAUGUGUGUAUGCGUGUGUAUGCGUGCGUGUGUGUAUGUAGGUGCGUGUGUAUGUGUGUGGGAGUGUAGGUGUGUGUGUGCGUGUGCGUGUUUAUGUUGGUGUGUGCGUAUGUGAGUGUGAGUGUAUGAGUGUUUGUCAUGCAUGUGUGUGCGCGUGCAGGUGAGUGGGUGUGUAAGUAUGUGUGUGUGUAUGUUUGUGUGAGUGUGUAUGUGUGUAUGUCUGUGUGUAUGUAUGUGCGUAUAGGAGUAUGUAGGUAUGUGUGUGUGUAUGUAUAUGGGUGUAUGUAUGUGUGUGUGUGUGCAUGUGUAUAAGUAUAUGCGUGUGUGCGUAUGUGUGUGUAUGUGUAUGUGUGUGUGUUUAUGUAUGUGUGUAUGUAUGUAUGUAGGCGUGAGUGUGUAGAUGUAUCUAUGUAUGGGUGUGUGUCAGUGUGUGUUUGUGUGUGUGUAGGUAGAUGUGUGUCUGAGUGAGGGUAUGGCUGUGUAGGUGUGUGUGUGUAUGAAUGUAAGUGUGUGCGUAUACAAGUGUAAUGUAUGUAUGUGGGUGUGUGUGUGUGUGUAUGUGUACGUGUGCGUGUAUAUGUGUGUGUGUGUAUGCGUGUGAGUGUGGGUGUAUGGGUGUAUGUCUGUGUGUGUGUAUGUCUGAAGUGGGUAUGUGUGUGUAUGUAUGUAUGUGUGUGUGUGUGCGGGUAUGUGUGUGUGUGUAUGUGUGUGUGUGAGUAGGUGUGCGUGUAUGUAUGUGGGUAGGGAUGCAUGCGAGUGUGUGGGUAUGUAUGCAAACAUACGCAAGCGCACAUCCGAAGCAAGCCCACACACACGAAGCGCGCUCACGCACACAACGCACAAGCAGUGCAACGCAAGCCCAAAGGGGCCGACCGAGCCCCCAGCGCGCGCCAAGGCGCGCGAGCGCAAAGGCCCUCGAACGCCCCGCUACGCGGGAACCGAGGAUCCAUCAGCCAAAACCGGAAAGCAGAAAAGAGGGGGGGGGCUGCCUGGAUGCAAAAAGGUGUAUGUGUGUGUGCAUUCAGUGUACGGGUGUGCAUGUGUGGGUAUGUAUGUAUGUAUGUGCCUACAUGUAUGUGUGCAUGUGUGUGUGUGUGAGGUAUGUACGUGCGGUGUGUGUGUGUGAGUGUGUGUGUAUGUAUGUGCGUAUGUAUGUGUGUGUGUAUGUGUGUAUGUAUGUCUGUGUGUGUGUGUGUGUGUAAGUAUGUAUGCGUGUGUGUAUGUAUGUGUGUGUGUAUGUGCAUGUGUGUCUGUAAGUGUGUGUGAUUAAAUGUGUGAAUGUAUGUACGUAGAUGGGUCUACGUAUGUGUGUGUGUGAACAGGCGUGUGGGAGGUAGGUAGGUGGGUGGGAGGUAGGUGGGUGGGUGUGUGUGGGUGGUGUGUCCGGAAAAAAAAAAAAAAAAAAAAAAAAACGGUCUCAAGAGGAGGGGGCUGUGUUAAGUCCGUGUGGGGUGGUAGUUUGUAGGGUGAAGAUGUAGCGUUGCUCCAAGUGGAGCCUGGAAAGUGGGCGACCAUUGUGGGGGGCGAGACCAAACACUGAGAUGUCAUCUCGGGAAUGGCCGGCCGAGCGGAAGUGGCGUGCGACGGGAGAAAAAGAGUGUAGGCGAACGUCCCUCAAGUGUUCAGUGAAACGGUCGGACAACCGGCGUCCCGUCUGACCUACAUACAGCAUCCCGCAUAGGUUGCAUUUAAUGCAGUAAAUAAGGCCAGACGAGGUGCACGUAAAAGAGUGCCUAAUGCGUACAGUAUGCAGGUUGGAGCCGGUGACAGCGGUGGUGUUGGUGAUGAAGGGGCAAGUGUUGCAGCGGGAUCUAGAGCAAGGGAAUGAUCCGUGUGGGGCUGAGGGGGAAGGGGAGAGGGUGCUGUGGACCAGGAGGUCACGCAGAUUGCGGGCUCGUUUGAAAGAGGACAGGGGUGGGUUAGGGAAAAUGGGGCGGGUGGUGGGAUCAAGCUGGAGGCGACGGAAGGCACGUAGUAUCUUGCGACGAAGGGGUAGGGUAGAGGGGUGGAAAAGGAGGGGGAAGGGGGUGCGGUUGGGGGUGGGCGGGGGGAAGGAGACAAGGCGGUAGUGCGGUCGAUGCGACGGGCGCGGGUGAGGGCAUCAGAGAGGAGUGUGGGUGGGUAACCUCGGAGUCUGAACAUGCGGGCCAGGUAUUGAGAUUGGGUCUCGAAAUCCUGGUCGCGGCUGCACAAACGUCGGAGGCGGAGGAACUGGGAGUAGGGGAUGGCUCGUUUGGUGUGGAAGGGGUGGGAGGAAGAGAAGUUGAGAUAGAGGUGGGAAUCCGUAGGUUUAAAGAAGGCGGUGGUGGUGAGAGAGCUGGAGGGGUGAUCGAUGCGGAGAGAGAUGUCAAGGAAGUUGACAGAGGUGUUGGAGAUGGUGGAGGUGAAUUGAAGAGAGGGGUGAAAGUUGGAAAGGAAAGAGAUGAAUUGGCCGAGAAGUUCCCGGGAAAGGGAGGUGGCACCUACACAGUCGUCGAUAUAGCGACCGUAUAGUUCGGGGGUCGGCCCAGAGAACUGGGAGAACACUUGGGCCUCAAUGUAGCCAAGAAAGAGAUUGGCGAAAUUGGGGCCCAUCCUAGUUCCCAUCGCGACCCCGGACACCUGUUGGUACGUUUCCCCGGCGAACGUGAAGCAAUUGAGGGUGAGGACGAGCUCAGCCAAACGGAGAAGGGUGGGGGUGCUGGGGGUGGGGUCGGGACGACGGUCGAGGAAGUGUUGGAGGGCUAGGAGACCGUCAUUGUGGGGAAUCACUGUGUACAGGGAUUUUACAUCUAAGGUGAAGAGGAGGUGUGAGGGGCUGGAAGGGAAGGAAAAGGAAUUGAAGAGACGGAGGGCGUGGUUGGUGUCGUGUAUGUGGGAUGGGAGGGCUGCGACUAAGGGGGACAGGAUGCGGUCGAGGUAUAGGGAGAUGAGUUCAGUGGGGCAAUUACAGGCAGAGACUAUGGGACGGCCAGGGUUAGAGGGUUUAUGGAUCUUGGGAAGGAAGUAGAUGGUGGAGGUGCGGGGUGUGCGGACGAUGAGGUUGGUGGCGGUGAGGGGGAGAGCGGAGGAGGAGAUGAGGUCGUGGAUGGUGGAGGACACUCGCUGUUGGUAGGAGGAGGUGGGAUCGGAGGGGAGGAGGCGAUAGAAGAGGGGAUUUUGAAGCUGGUUGAGCGCUUCCUCCCUGUAUAGGUCCGCGCGCCACACUACCACCGCCCCGCCUUUGUCCGCCGGUUUGAUGACAAUGUCGUCACGACGGCGGAGGUGGCGAAGGGCGAUGGAUUCGGCCCGAGUGAGGUUGGCUCGGCGGGGUCUUGGUUCAAAGUUGAAACGGUGGACCAAAGCGUUGCAGUCAUGUACAAACGAAUCUAGGCUACUGAAAAGGCCUGGGGGCGGCGUCCAGAUGGAUGGACGACGCCCCAGCUCCAAAAGGCAAUCCUGAUUGUUGUGACGCUGCGGGGACGCGUGGUAGUAUGCGCAAAGUUUGAGGCGGCGCAGGAACAGGUUGACGUCCGCCCGAGUCUCGAACUCAUCACAGUGGCGCGUGAGUGGCGUGAAGCGGAGACCCUUACUGAGGAGGGAGCGCUCAGCGGCGGAGAGGGGGAGGUUGGGGGGUAUAGUGACAACAGCGCGAGGAAGCGGGGUGGUGGGAGGACUAGGGGCAGGCGGAGGUGGUGCAGGGGUGUGAAGGGGAGGGUAGGGGUGGUUGGGUGAAGAUGGGUUAGGCGUAGGAAGGUCACGGCGGGGGGUGGGGGUCCGUGGAAGGGUGGGGUAGGUGCGGAGGAGGGGGGAAACAGUGGGGGAGGAUGGGGAAGGGGGUGAGGGGUUGAGGAGGAGGUGGAGUUUUUUGUUUUUUGUGUGUGUGAGGUAGUUGUAGAGUAGGUGGUUGAGAUGAAGAAUGAAGCGGAGGAUAGGUUGGGUGAAGAGUGGAGGGCAGAGGGCGGAGAGAAGGAGGUAGGCCUGGGGAAGUUGAUGGUCGAGGGAGUCAAGGAGGGGGCGGGUGGAGCGGAUGGUGGCGCGGAGGAGGGAGCGGGAGGUACGAGCGAGGGUGGGUUCGAUGAAGGGGGAGGAAUAGGGGGUAGCGUGGAACUUCAAGAGGAAACCGCGGGGUGUGACAUGAUGGCGGAGACACCGGCUAAGAAAGGAAAUAUGACUGGAAUGGCGGGUUUUCUUAAAAAGCAAGCGGGAAAGUUUUAUAGCAGGUGCGGAACAUUGUGGGGGGAAGAACGCGAGGUAGCGGCUGAGGAGGGAUUGAAGGUGUUGGACGAACGAGUGCAAGUCAGGCAUGAUGAGAAGUGGUGGCAAACAGUUAAAGGUGGGAGGUGGCGAAACAGGAAAAUGGAGAGACAACAGGAAAACAACAAAAGAAGAAAAAGGGUGAAGACUGUUUGAAAACAAUAGAACAAAGUUGAAAAAAGUCAGGAAAGAGAUUUGAGAGUCAACGGACAGAUUAGGUAAUGAUUUUCAAUCACGGUAAUGGCGGUACUCCGGAAGAAGGUUGCGGGUGAUCCGUAGGUCAGGAUGAAUGGUAACAAUAAUCCGUAGGUGCAAAAAAUCCGGGAAUUGAGUAUCCAAGGUACAAGGGGUCCGUGUAGGCGCGCAGUGGUAUAAUUUUAAUCCAAACGGGAAACAAAAAAACAACAACAAGGGAACAAUUACAGUAUUAUUAUUAAUAGGCGCUCAGGAAAUGGAAGCAGGGAGGUAUGACGUUUCGAGCGGAGCUCUUCGUCGGAAACAUAUAUAUAUAUAUAUAUAUAUAUAUAUAUAUAUAAUGUAAAAUUAAAGAAGUUUAAGAAUAAUAUACAUUGCAUAGUGCGUAUACAUCAUCUGGUAUAGAACUGAAAACGCCAUUAGCCACUUAUUCGCAUAAGUCACACUCUAUCUAUUAUCCCGAUACACCUACCUUUAACUUCUGAAUCCUACGCACUUAUCCAAAGUACUGCACUGUGUGAAGUUGAACCUAAAAACACAUGUUUGUGAAGCGAAAUUCUGAACCACACAGCUAUGACUGUUUCCUUUCUUCUCUCUAUUUUUUCUUUCCCUCUUUCAAUCUCUGUUGCUACAAGGCUAAUCUCCAUGUUCCUCAUGCGUGAUCAGCAUUGUUUUCAGGGUUAAUAUAAAAAUGUUUGCAUGUUUUAUAUUACGUCUAAUUUGCUAGGUUCUUCGAUUAGUUUUAACGUAACUUGUCGUUUAAGUAUCGUUAUUGCAUGUUGUGAAAGCUUUUAUGGCAUUAAGAGGUAAUUAAGUAGAAUAUGUGUUAAGUGAGUUUGUUGUCUUAUUUAAUUGAGAGAUUAAUAUAUCAGAGUAUUUGCCGUGUGAGAUUGUUACUAAAUUGGACGUGUCUUGAUUUCACUAUAGAAUGUAGUAAGCGGGGUCGUUAUCCGGAUAGUGUGUAUCGUUUCGUAAUGUUUUGUGAUCCCGGCUGUAUGGAUUGCGUGUGUGUGUGUAUGUGUGUUUGUGUAUUAGUGUGUGUGUGGGGGGGGGUUGCAUGGUUGUCGGUGAUGUAGAAGACCGUCUGGUGUCGGAAAAAUUUAUAUGUACUCUAUUGAAAUGUAUAUUUAACUUCAUAUAGAACAAUUAUAUAUAUAUAUAACGGGAAGGUUUACGAAAAUAAACAAAAGACGAAGGCAGGUGGAGUACAAACAAACAAAUGUAUUAGUAUGGCGCUCAGGAAUAGAAAUAGAACAAGUCUUUUACGUUUCGAGCCUACGCUCUUCGACAGAAAGAUACACAGAAAAGAAACAAGGAGAGAAACAAGGAGUGAAAAAAUGCGUGUAGGCGCUAACGGUCUAUACUUAUAUGUUCGUGUAUGUAUGUAUUUGUGUGCAUUUUUUGUGUGUAGAUAUGUGUCUAUGUAUGUUUGCGUGCAUGUAUGUAUGUAUUUAAAGAAAAAUGCUAUGAUAGACGAGAAAAUUAAUCUCAAACACCAUUUUGUGUGCACAAUUUGUGACAGACCAUGUCCUUCUUUUGCUGGGCUCAAAUCUCAUUUGAAGACCUACGAAAAACGAAUUUCCACCUGGCGCUCUGCCUAUCUAUCUGUGCAUGCAAGCCAUAAGGUCUGCAAAUCUAACAGUGGCCACAAGAGACAUUUUAAAAUCCACAAAAUUUCGAACUUAAGUACGGCUCUUUGUGGUCUUAAGCAGUUAUGCAAUUUAUGUGGGUGUUUUUUUCAAAUCUUUGUCUGGCUUAAAAGUCACAUUAGACGCCAUGGUAGAUCUAAAGCGUAAGUACAAGUGGUUGUCAGACUCUGCAUAGGGAGUAGAUAACCACCAUGUAUGUAUGUAUGUAUCUAUGUAUGUAUGUAUGUAUGUAUGUAUGUAUGUAUCUAUGUAUGUAUGUAUGUAUGUAUGUAUGUAUGUAUGUAUGUAUGUAUGUAUGUAUGUAAGACAGCCGAGGAGAGACGGAUUCAGUCAGCAGAACAGAAACGCCAGAUGCGGAAAGCCACCUGCACCAAUAGCACAGCCCCUACCCACUUCUGCCCCACCUGUUGGAGGGGCUUCCUUGCCCGGAUUGGCCUCAACAGCCACCUCCGGUCUCAUAGCAACAAUUCCAUCAAAUGAUGUCAAUGGUCAUCUUCGAACCCGAAGGUCGAACAUUAUUAUGUAUAUAUGUAUGUAUGAAUGUAUAAAUGUAUGUAUUUAUGAAUGUAUAUAUAUAUAUAUGUAUGUAUGUAUGAAUUGUAAUUAAGUUUGGUUACUAGAUUUACGUACCUAGGUAACCAUUAUUAAUACCCUUAAACUAACCUAUCUGAGUUUUAAGACCCCUCUCCCAUACAUAAUAACUAAAUUAUAUCAUAUUGCACCAUUUUACUAGGCCAAAAAACAACUUUUACACCCUCUUAUAACCAUGUAAUGCCAGUUCUCUUAACUCUUAGCAUAAAUUUAGACUAUAGAAUGCACAAGCAUCCAUUCCUCUAUCAUACACACCCCGUUAAUAGUAUCCUGAUCUCCACCGUAAUAAUGAAUGAAUUUGUCUGUAUUUAUAACAUACUUUACCAUCACAUACUCAUUGUUUGCUUGUUUUACUUUAGUUUAUUCUAGACCAUUCGAAGUCAGCAUUGAUCUACCUCUACUGAAUGAAGACCCCUAUUGGAUUUACACAUAUCACUACCACUCCCCACCGCACCACGAAAUAUUUAUUUAACACUUUAAUACGAACUUGACACCCUACACUCCCUUUUAGUUAUGUAUUUGCUUGAUCUUUCUUUUGCAGUUAGCACUUAUCUACGUGCUAUUAAUAUUGUUAUUAUUGUGAUUAUGUUUAACCCUUUUCUUACCAAUCUGGCUGAAACCGCCUCUGGCUCUGUAGUACAAAUGUCUUGUUUUCAUAAGUUUUGAAUUUAAACUUUCUACCAAACCUCAGUCACAAUUUAUGUUCCUAAUACAAGCUAAAUGACAACUAAGUUAUUUUACUAAAUUCUUUGUUAUAUUUAAAGUAAUUGAAACAAACACAGAGCAUCUCAAAAUAAAUACAGUAACGAAAGGGUAUGGGGUGUUAAUUGUUGAAACUGGCAUAAGUACCCAUGUAUGUGUUACAUAGCGAUAUGAUAUAUAUUAUAAUUAUUCGGGUACAUAAACGAGUACUUGUGUGGCUGCAUGCUGUAUGUGAGUGUGCAUACGUGUAUGAGAUUGUACAUAGGUGUAUAUAUAUAUAUAUAUAUAUAUAUAUAUAUAUAUAUAGAGAGAGAGAGAGAGAGAGAGAGAGAUAGAUAGAUAGAUAGAUAGAUAGAUAGAUAGAUAGAUAGAUAGAUAGAUAGAUAGAUGUGUGAGUGUGUAUGUGUGUGUAUGUAUGUAUAUACAUAUAUGUGAUAGAUAUAUAUGUAUUUGUAAAAGUGUGUGCAUAUGCAUAUACAUGCAUGUUGAUUCUUUGUGUAUGAAUGCAUGAGCAAAUUGUAGUAAGAGCUUACAUUUGUAAAAACAAACCUGCAAGUAUUUUAAUUUUAAAUUUCAACUAUAAAUUGUAACCAUUAAUUUAAUUAGGGAUAUCUACUUUUACUUAUUUAAUUGACCACUAGGCUGAUUGAUUUUAAUAUCAUUUAACCAAUUAGCUAGAAAAUUGUCUGGUAGGCUAGUCAACUCAUUUUUUGUGGGUGUACUGCAACCAGCAGUCACUAAUUAUGACCACUUACCCUAGUUAUUACCUCCCUUUAACCAGACAUAUUCUAAUAACUUCCCUACGGUAUUAUUUCGUUUCAUUGUUUUUACAAAUUUCGCAUUCAUAUUGAUAAACUGUUGGACCAUUUCCAACCUUAACCGUCUUACUUCCUAAAUGUCUGAAUAGGUUCCUCUCUUAAUAUUCAUUUCAUAAUAUUAUUUUUUAAAUCUAGUUUUUACCACCCUAAGCGUUUUAGAGCCCCUUACAACAUACACCAUCUUCCUAUUCAUUCAUUUAUUUAUCUGGCCCUUUGUUUUUAAAUUUCAACUGACCAAUUACAUCGAACGUUGAACCUUACCUUAUCUCCCUUCGGAUAACAGGUAGAAGGGCUUAACCACCUGCUAGUAAAUAAAUAAAUUGCAUUUAAUCAAUUAGCACUUUAUAAUGAUUAAUACUAUUAAUUAGUACUACAAACAUAACUAUUAUAAAUUAUUAUGAUUAAUAUAAAAUCUUACUCUAUCUACAACCCCUUCUCCGACUAAAACCUCUUUGCGUAUCCCGCUAUGAUUUUUGUUUUUUUAUUCUUUAACCACCCUAUGCCCACCCCCAUUAUACAAAGAAUUAAUCCACUAAUUGCUAUUUUGUUUUAGUCUUUUACAUAACGGCCUAAAGAGACACACAAGCAAAAUGGUAUAAGUACAACCAUAUUCAACUGUUCCUUUUUUUCUUCUCUAUGACCUUCUUCUUUAUUUAUCCGUCCCUCUGAUAAAGCUUCUUGUUUCAGAUCGGUUUUAUUGCCAACUAUGAUUAAUAUUUUUAUAUAGUUUUGCAUACCAAUAGCAAUACCAUUACAACAUUGGAAGCAGAAACAGCUGUUAGAUAGGAUGCAGUCUAUUUGGAUUGAAUUAAUAUAUAAUACUCGAUGUAAAUCGAUUGUUAUUUGUCAGUACUUCUCUAUUUUCUGUUCUUUUUCAAUUUUGAGUCUUGAUAAACCCAUGUAUAUCCUUGUGUUUACCUAUAACUUAUGAACAUACGGUUGCAUAUGUAUGUCCAAGGUUAAAUAUAGGUAAUAUACCAGUAGUGUGAUGGAUAGUCUAUCCCCUAGACUGUUAUUUUAUUCUCUAAAUUAACUAACCUAUAAUAGUGAUGAUAAUAAUCACCAGAAAAGGUUACAGAAAACGAGAAAGCAACAAUACUCUGGGAUAUGCCGAUACACACAGAUAGAGAAAUUAAGGCCAACAGACCAGAUAUAGUUGUCAGAGAUCAUGAAGAAAAAAAAAUGCUUUCUAAUUGAUGUAUCAAUACCGGCAGAUGACAACGUGUCUCUAAAAGAAAUGGAGAAACUCUCAAAAUACAAAGACCUGGAAAUAGAGGUAACUAGAAUGUGGAAUCUGAAAACAGAAACAAUUCCUAUCAUAGUAGGUGCAUUAGGCAUGAUAAAAAAAUAUUCAGACAAAUACAUAACAAAAACACCAGGACUUACAAACACAUAUAUCAUACAGAAAAUUGCACUACUAGGCACUGCACACAUCCUACGCAGAGCACUUUCCAUACAAUAACCAUCAGAGCAUCACAACAAAUCACAGCACAUACCCAAGGCACACAGAGCUGCGCUCGGUAGUGAAGUGAAAGCACGCUAUAAAAAUAAAACUACUGAAUAAUAAUAAUAAUAUCAUUAUUAUUAUUAUUAUUAUUAAGUGAGAGAGCAGUGCAUGACAUCAAAGUGACACUGGGGUAAAAUAUACGAAGCCCAAUAUACCCAUCAUGACUACCCGUCUGAUAAAGGUACACCAGGCACAUGCAUCACAACCAUAUGUGCGCGACAUGGUGAUCUCAUAUCAAGAUAAACAGCACAUGACCUUGCAGGUGGGGCCCAGUUAGAAUUUUCUUCAGGUUGAGUAGCCCAUCCCGCUCAAACGGUCCCUGAAUAAGGGUUGUUUAAGGAUGUUGAAAAAACCACCCAUGUCUCCAGAGGUGAAUUAUUCAAACCCCAAAGAAUCCCUCUCAACACAUGGCUAUGAUGCUCACCCACUACUUCUGCUCGUGAUCAGAGAUGCACAUAUCGUCAGCCACUAAGGGACAUGCUCAACUGGUUAAGGUCAAACAACUGACAAGCAAAUCUGUGGUAUUGAGCAGAAUAUUUGCUGUAGCCCAUCUUUUAUACCAAGACAAAACAAUGUACAUGAUAACACUUCCAAUCAGUUAAGAUUAGAAGCCAUGAGAGCCACUGCCUGGUACUGCAUCUAUUAUUAUUAUUAUUAUUAUUAUUAUUAUUAUUAUUAUUAUUAUUAUUAUUAUCAUUAUUUUGGUUUGUCUCAGGUUCGGUCUUAUUCCUGGUAGUGAUUAUAUAGAUAGGGGGUUAUUAUCUAUAACCUUAGGUAUCUACGAGUUUUCAGCAGUCUUUCAAAUGCUUAGGACCCUCCUGACAGUCCUUGUUUUCCUUAAGAGACAAACUUUCUGUAGAAGCUCUACCGGGCAUACUAUUUCAAUCUCCUUCAGCCAUUUGUCAAUAUCUUGGCUUACUGUUCCUAGCGCACCUAUUAUUAUAGGUACAACCUUUACGUUUUUUUUUAUUGCCCUUUUUCUAAUCAAGCCCAGGAUUUUGUUCCUCACACGUCUCCUGUGGCUCUCCAAAACUGGCCACGCAGAGAUUUCUAUUCGAUCUGUUUGGCGUACUCUUUUUCCUUUAAUUGUCACACGCUUCAUCACAUGCUCUUUCUUGACUUAACUAGUUUUUCUAGACUUGAGUAGUUUUUCAGUGUCUGGGCAUUGCUGACUUGUGAGGUCAUGUCGAGCAACUGCUGUCACGUGUGGGACGGAUCCGUCUGUCAGCUGAGUAUGUUAUGAUGAUCGCCCUUCUACUCUCCUUCAAUCGGGCAAAGCAAUUUUCUUUUGCCUGGUAGCUGUGGCGAAAGAGGUUGUUUGGUGGACAAAGCUGAAAGACAUGAGGACAGAUACAUUCCUCUUUUGUAGAGCUGUCUUUGACGUCUUCAAGUUUCACUUCAAAAGGAAAUUCGAAGUGGAGAGAGAAGUGCUGUACUCGAAUGAAGUUAUUGAAAGUUGGGUGAAAGUUACGAAAAUGGCAAGAGUGGAUGGUACCUCUGUAAGCGUUGACCUUUGAUUCGGAAAGAAGAAAUUGAUGAGGGCACUUGCACUUGGAUUUUAAGGAGAUCUCGGACAGUGGGAUUCCUCGAUUAUCCCUAGAGGCCUUCCUAAAUCAGGAGGGCCACAUCUCUAUCAUCCCCGUCGCGAUUUGCUUUUCUUGUCUUAAACCUUUGUAUGCUAUGCAUGUGCCCCUUUCUUUUUUAGUCUAUACCGUGUAUACUUAUUUUGUUAUUAUCAUUUCAUUAUAGGUAACCACCCACACUUCAUGUCUGUCUUUGUAUCAUUCCCCCUCAUCCUUUGUCCUUGUGGCAAAUAAAUGAUAUUAUCAUUAUUAUCAUUAUUAUUAUUAUUAUUAUUAUUAUGUAAGGCAGUGAGCUGGCAGAAUCUUUAGCAUGCUUGAAAAACAAUGCUUAGCGGCAUUUCGUGCCUCUUUACGUUCUGAGUACAAAUUUCACCGAGGUAGAGUUUGCCUUUCACUCCUUUCGGGAUCGAUAAAACGAGUACCAGUCAUGCGCUGGGGUUGAUGUAAUCGACUAUCCUCCUCCAAUGAAAUUUUGUCCUUUGUGCCUAUAAUAAAAUGAAUUAUUAUUCUUUUUUACUCUUGGCACAAGGCCUGAAAUUUUGGAGGAAGAGGCCAGUCGAUUAGAUCGACCCCAGUACGCAACUGGUACUUAAUUUAUCGACUCCGAAAGGAUGAAAAGCAAAGUCAACCCCGGAAGAAUUUGAACUCAGAACGUAAAGACAGACGAAAUGCAGCUAAGCAUUUUACCCGGGGUGCUAACGUUUCUGCCAGCUCGCCGCCUUAAAAUGAAUUAUGAUUAUUAUAGUUCUUGCUGUCAUUGUUGUUGCUGCUGCUGUGGCUGCUACUGUUGUUGUUGUUGUUGUUGUUGUUGUUGUUGUUGUUGUUGUUGUUGUUGUUGUUGUUGUUGUUGUUGUUGUUGUUGUUGUUGUUGUUGUUGUUGUUGUUGUUGUUGUUGAUGAUGAUGAUGAUGAUGAUGAUGUUGUUGUAGCUGUUGUUGUUUUGUUGUUGUUGUUUUUGUUAUCAAUCAGCAGAAGUGACUCAAGAGCCAAGAGUUAUAAAUUUGACGUGUACCAAUGGCCGAAUCUCUCGGCCUUUGCGUCGAUGCGCAAAUUCUGCAGAUUAUAAAUAGUAAAAAAAGAAAAUUAAAAUUAAUAGAUAGAUAUAUAGGCAAUGAACUGUGUGCAUGUAAAGAUGUACUAUUAAGGUUGAGUGUAAGUUAAGUAGAUGCGUUAAUGUAUACGUAAGUUAUGUUAACAAAGCUGAUUGUGUUCGUUUGUUUGCCUAAUUAAAUCCUUUUACUAUAGGCACAAGGCCUGAAAUUUGGUGGGAGAGGGCCAAUCGAUUAGGUCGAUCUCAGUACGCAUCUGGUACUUAGUUUAUCGACCCCGUAAGGAUGAAAGGCAAAGUCGACCUCGGCGGAAUUUGUACUCAGAACAUAAAGACAGACGAAAUACUGCUAAGCAUUUCGUUCAACGUGCUAACGUUUCUGCCAGCUCGCCACCUUAAAAUGAAUUAAUAUUAUUAUAAUUCUUGUUACUGCUGCUGUGGCUGCUGCUGCUGCUGUUGUUGUUGUUGUUGUUGCUGUUGUUAUCAAUCAACGGAAGUGACUCAAGGGGCAAGUGUUAUAAAUUUGAUGUGUACCAAUGGCCGAAUCUCUCGGCCUUUGCGUCUAUCCGCAAAUUCUACAGAUUAUAAAUAUAGUAAAAAUAGAAAAUCAAAAUUAAUAAGUUUCUUUAUUGGCCACACAGGGCUGCACACAGAUGGGACAAGUUACAAGGUAGAGCUUUUCUUUUGGGGGAUGAAAAAAACAAAAAAAAAAAAGGGGUGGCGUAGGUUUUCGAUCAAGAGGGAAGAAAAGAACAAAAAAAAUAAUAAAAUAAAAUAAAAAAUAAAAAAAUAAAAGAAGAAAAGGAAAAGGAAGAAAAGAGAAGAGAAAUGAAAAAAGAAGAAAAAAGGGGAAAAAAGGGGAAGAGGAAAAAAAAACGAUCAAUAGGGAUCGUGUAUCACAGUGUUAUGAUAUAUGGUGUAAAGGGGAAAGCAAGUAAGGUUUAUCCGUGGGAAGAAAAGCCUACGAAAAAGACCACGGUAACCUUGGUCAAUAUUGUUAUAUGUUACCACAUUUGUUUGCAAGUGGGUAAAUUAAUAGAUAGAUAGAUAGGUAGAUAGAUAGAUAGAUAGAUAGAUAGAUAGAUAGAUAGAUAGAUAGAUAGAUAGAUAGAUAGAUAGAUAGAUAGACAGACAGACAGACAGACAGACAGACAGACAGACAGACAGACAGACAGAUAGAUAGAUAGAUAGAUAGAUAGAUAGAUAGAUAGAUAGAUAGAUAGAUAGAUAGAUAGAUAGAUAGAUAGAUAGAUAGGCAAUGAAUUGUGUGCGUGUAAAGAUGUACUAUUAAGGUUGUGCGUAAGUUAAGUAGAUGCGUUAAUGUAUACGUACGUUAUGUUAACAAAGCUGAUUGUGUUCGCUUGUUUGCCCAAUUAAAUAAAUGCAAGUUCUCUGAGCGAACGUGUUAGCGCUUGUGUUUACGUUUCUCUUUUCGUAUGUCAUUAUAUUUACAUAUAUGCGUCGUAUGAGCAUGUAUGCGUGUGACAUGUAUCUGAAUAAGUUUUGCGUAUGUGUACAUUUGACGCCCAGAUUUACAAUUCAGCAUUGUUUCAAUAGCCACCGUUUAUUUUCUACAAUUACAUAUGUGUUGGUGAAUUCUUGGCUAUUAACCUUGUCACUUAAGAAACAUGCCUCUGUCACUCACACACACUAACUUUCAGCCCCUCUUACACUCUCUCUCUCUCUCUCUAAAUAUCUAUCUCUCUAUCUCUCCCUCUUUCUCGAUUCCAUUGACGUCAUAACAGAUGGUAUUGCCGCUGCUACACAUUUGGUGCACACACACACACUUUGCUGAUAAAUAAAUCGUCUUUACUUACGUCUACAAAUACGCGUACACACCUCACCCCUACAUCUUUACAUACAUACAUACAUACAUACAUAGAUACAUACAUACAUACAAACAUGCAUGCAUACAUACAUACAUACAUACAUACAUACAAACAUACAUACAUAUACACGCACAUACAUAUACACAAACAAACAUACGCACACAUAUUAACGUUUGAUUCUGUGUGAUUUUAUAUAUCAAUAAAAUGUAACGUUAAAGUGAAUAUUGUAGUAGAAAACAUAUUUAUUAAUAUUUGCAUCUAUAUCUGUAUCUAUCUACCUAUAUACAUAUUGGGUUGUCUGGAAAGUUCGUGCCGAUUUUUAAAGGAAAGAAAAACGUCAAUAAACACUUGCCAUUACAUUUUUAAUCAACCAAAUAUGAACCAUUUUGUUGCACAAUGCGUCUCCAUCUUUCCUUUAACUUGAAAAUACCCUCUUCUCAGAAUUGAGAUGGUUUCAUGGCAAAGAAUUCAUCAAGGUAUUUUUUUUUACUUCAUCCAAGGAAUUACAAUUUUACCAUUAAGACUAUUCUGCAGAGACCUGAAUAAGUAGAAAUCCGAAGGAGCAAUAUCUGGUGAAUGUGAAGGGUGGAGUAACACAUCCCAGCCAAGCUGCAGCAAUUUUUGUCUGGUUCCCAAAGAAACGUGCUAUCUUGCAUUAUCAUGUUGGAAAACAACACUCUUCCUGUUGUUCAAUUCUGGAUGUUUCUCUUGAAUUGCUGCUUUUAACUCGUCCAGUUGUGUGCAGUAUUUCUCAGAAUUGAUUGUCUUGUUACUUGGGAGAAGCUCAUAGUACAGAAUUCCUUUCCAAUCCCACCAGACACAAAGCAAGACUUUUUUAUGAUGAAGACCCGCUUUUGGGUACCACAUAAGUUGAAUGAGAAGAACCUUUUGGAUCGCAUUUCCAUCUGUGAUUCGGUUUAUAAACGGAAUGAAAACGCGCCUUUUUUAAAGCAAGUGUUUCUCUCUAUCAGAUUCGUAGACACGUGUUUCCAGUUCUUUCACUUUCGUCAAUGGGAAAUAACGAAGAGAGAUAACUCAGAGCAGAUUCAAAGCUGUAGCUUUCAACAUCGAUGAGUUGCGUUUGCGAACCGCUUGCUCAGGAUGAAUAUAGCAGAAAUAGCGACAAGCAGUGGUUAGGAAUAAACGAACUUUCGAUUCGUUAAAAUACAUUUGUGACAAAUUUCAAUUUCCGAAGGCAAAUUCACUAUAGUUCACGUGGAGAAAAAUUCUUUCUUGUGAUAAAAUAUCUACCCACUGCUUCUCUCUAUCAGAUUCUCACACACGAGUUACCGGCUCUGUAACUUUCUGAAAAAGAAGCACAUUCUAAGUUAUAGAGCAGUAAAGUAUUUAGAUAAAGAUAGAUAUGUUCAGUUUAUGGGGUUACCCGUGCUUUCACGUCCAUAAAACGCUUAGCUUUACACCAUUUCGCCAGGCCCUAAACGGGAAACCCCGGGGGAAUACAUACACCGACCAUAUCUAUCUUUACCUCUCUCUCUCUCUCUCUCUCUUUCUCUGUAUAUAUAUAUAUAUAUAUAUAUAUAUAUAUAUAUAUAUGUAUAUAUAUGUAUGUAUGCAUGUAUGUACGUAUGUCUCUGUGUGUGUACGGUAAGUCAUAAUAGUCACUGGAACCACCUAUAGACUCCACAGAUCCUUCUGAUUGUUGUAAAUUUGUCAGAUUCUCAGACGCGCGUUUCUAGUUCUGUAGCUUUCGUCAAUGGGAAAUAAUGGACACAUUCAAAGCUGUAGCUUUCAACAUCCCACAAGCAAUGCGGUUUUUUCAAUUUCAUGAACUAAAAGCUGGAGGAGAACGGGAUAAACUACCUACAUCAACUUGCUAUAAAAGCAGGUGGUAAUUUUACUUUGUACUUGUUCUUAGUUCAAGUUUUGAAGAGUGCAGUUCGAUUUUAACAAUUAUUUCUUCUAAGCUAUAAUGGAAGUCACAAAGGAGCGUAUUCGGCAUAUUUUGCUUUAUGAGUUCAAUAAAGGCAACAACGCAACGGAAAGUGCGAGGAAUAUUAAUGCAGUAUAUGGGCAUCGGACAAUAAGUGUGAGCCAGUCUCAACUGUGGAUCCAGAAAUUCCGAGCCGAAAACUGCAACCUAGAAGGUCGAGCCUCGUCCGGGGAGGUAUGUAGAGCUCAACGAAGAUGUCUUGCAAACCCCGAUGGAAUAAAAUACCAUCGCAACUGUUGAGGAACUAGCAGAGAAACUUGUAUUUGGUUAUUCAACCGUUCAUUGACACCUACGCUACAAGAAAUACGACCAUGAUUGGCUUCAAAACGCAAGGUGUUCUUCCAUCAGGAUAAUGCUCCAUCAGGAUAAUAAUGUGGUUGGUAAGCAAGCUACUUACCACACAGCCACUCCUACGCCUAUAUAUUAUAUGAAUUUAUAAUUUCCCUCUGCCAGGCACUUUAUAUUCCUCUCUUUCUCUUUACCACUUCAACAAAUUUUUUUAACAAUGUAAUUCUCUUCUUCGUGACUUUAACAUUUCUCUCCCUCUCUUCACCUCUUACUUCCACUAACCACGUGAGUGACAGCAUAACACAUCGACUGGCUAUCUGCUCUGUCACUCAUUCUCACAUUCCCUCUUCCUCUCUCACAUUCCAUCUACCCCUCCUCUCUAACAAUCUAAAACGUAAAGUGUGAACGAACUGGUAGAAGAAUAAUAUUAUACAGAGUCAAGACUAUUGAAAAGGGUGCAAGACGCAACGAAAAUUUUAGGAAAAUAAAAAGACGAAAUAAGUGGAAAUUUUACCGGUGAGUGUGUUAGAUAAUAAGGUACUAAAAGAGAAUGACUCUCCCCAGACACAACAGAAUAUGCUUCAACACACGAACUCAUAUAAAGAAUCUUUCAAACCAAAUCCAAAAACGAAAAAUUAUACAUUAAGUUCAAUAAAAAAAAAUCCUUAUCACUAUUAACACACCAUCAUCAUCGCUAUAGUUUCAGCAACAAAGUCCAUAUCAUUUCAGUAUAGCUGCGAGUUUAUAUCUACUUUUCGUUCCUGUUGAUGUAUCUCCAGUCUGACAAUACAAACGCUGCCUGCAUCACACACACACACAAACACACACCGACUCCCUUUUAAUGUAACUGCCUCCCCUGUCCAUCUCUCUCUAUCAGCCUUACUUUCACCUCACCACCGCCUGCUAAAUAUUAUAUCCUAAACACAUCUCUUUCUUUUCAUCUUUCCCUCUCCACCCUACAGCACGUCGUUAACACUUUUCUCUCACCAUUUCUUUCUCUCGCUGUUCGCCUCUUCCUUCGACUAACGGCGUAACGCAUUUGGCUUUAUUGUAGAUCUUCCUCAAUUCUUUCUCCUCUACUCACACUCCUCUACUCACACUCCUCUCCUCUCUCUAUCACAUUUAUUCCCCAUCUCACUCCACCUCUAUCUCCCUAACUAAAGUAUAACAAGAGAACGAUCAAGCAAAUUAUUACACACAUACACACAUACACACAUACUUUCCAUUAUAUAUAUAUAUAUAUAUAUAUAUAUAUAUAUAUAUAUAUAUAUAUAAUGGAAAGUCUGAAAUAUUUUCUCUAAUUUCGUAACAGUAUAAAGCUUUUCAGCUCGGUUUUUCUCUACACAUAUACGCACAAUAAAAAUUUCAGGCAUGUAGAAAUUACUAGAUAAUAUGCAUGAUCAAGUUGUAACAACGUCUCAUUGCACGCGCCCACCUGUUCGUAUCCUAUACAGAAACACCUGCCACAGACUACAUUAAACUUUAAGUAAGAAAAUUUAACAAUUCCAUACAUUUUUAUAAACACACUCGUUCCAUUCAGUAAACUUUAAAACGUAUUUCAACGCUACAUAAUUCUUAUAACUCCUUUUAUGAUGUUCCAACUGUUAUUGAGGUCAAAUACAAUGUUUCACAAUAAACGUUAUCAUAAAUUGAGAAUUUUUACACAAUACAUAAUGGCAGCACUUCGCAUUCAACGAGUAGUAAGUACACUGGUUGGGUGGGUAAAUGGGAACACUGAAGUCCCGAUGCAAGUGAGCAAGAAUUACCAUAGUCUGGGUAUCUUUCUUUCUUUCUGUUUCUUGUUUCUCUCUCUCUCCCUCUCUCUCUCUCUCUCUCUCUUGUCUGACAAUAAAACAGCGGUAAUAUAUAUACACAUGCGUAUAUAUGUAUAUAUAUAUAUAUAUAUAUAUAUAUAUAUAUAUAUAUAUAUAUAAGAAGAAAAAAGCAACAAGAAUGGAUCAAUAUUUCGGUACAGUUGUUUCGUACGAAGACAGCUUUAUUAAGGCUGCAAAUAUUGCAGUAAAUAUAAGUGACCCGUACUCAUCAGCCGAAAAAAUAUCUGAGUUCUCCAAACAUCUAAAGGGGUGAUGUUACACUCCUGAAAUAUUAGGGAUAGUUCUAUAAAAAUAAGAUUUAGGUAACAAAUGGACUUCUGAAAGUUCUUUUAGUGUUGCACAGUCAUAUAACGGGGUUUAAAAAAAGUAUUUUAAAAAACCUCUUAGUUUUCCAGAAAAUGACAAUGAAAUUGAAAAUGUAAAUCCAUCCAUAUUGAAGAAAGUUUGAAUUCUGGAGAUAUGAGGAGAGGUAUCAUACUCACAGAAUAUGCAUUUAUCCAUAAUUAGUCCAUAAUAAAGUGUGUUUCCUGAUGUGUGAUGAUAUAUUGGUUACCUUUCUGAGAAUUUCUUCAAACUGCUAUGUUAGAAUUAAAUUUGUUGAAGGAGGGUUAGUGAAGCGUGGAGACAAUCCCUCACAUAGGGUAUAUUAGAGUAACUAAGAGCGGAAGGGGAUGUAAGUGUCCAACUACGUAGAGUAGUUUAUUUCAGUGGAGGCGAACUGACUAAACAGAAUUUGCAAGAAUCAAAGAGCUUUGAGGAGGAAAGCUAAUCUUGACCAAAUAUCAUCGUUAAUUGCUAUAUAAGGAGGAUAUGAGAAGGUAAAGAAGGGCCAAAGGUUGUCACUAUAGGGAAAAAAAUUAACAGAUUUCAGGGCAAAACUAGAAAGGUCAUUUAAUUUAUUUCUUUAUUUAUUAAUGUUACUACUAAUAAUAAUACAAUGGCAGACUUUAGGACUACAUUAAGGGGUCAAAAGAAAGGAUUGUGAGUUGUUUUUCAUAAUGAAAAAACGUUAUGUUAUUUUUAUGGGAUUAGCGAUAUUUACUAGUAGUAUAUAAAAGAACUACGAAGUCUAAUUAACUAAUUACCUAAUUUGCUAUAAGUUGGAUUACCUACAUUAGAUUAAAAAAUUAGAUAGAAUUAAUUUAAAUUAUCUAUAUAGCCUAUUUGAAUGAAAAUUUAUUUGUAACUAAUUAAUUUCUAUAUGUUUCAAACCUGGUACAGUUAGAGAGAAAAUAACCAUAGCCCAUAAUCUCGUAGCUAUCUAAUUAAAUAUAUAAUAUAUAAGAGGUGCAAAUGAGAGUAGCUAUAUCAAACUCCAUUCUUCACCAAGUGCCACAUAUUAGACGAGGUUCUUCGUAAUAACAGUGUAGCACAAAACGGUGGUGUAUCAGCAUGGCCGCAGCUCUGAGCUGAAACUAGAGAAAUAUAUAUAUAUAUAUUUAUAUUUAUAUUUAUAUUUGUGUGUCUGUGAGGGUGUGUGUUUUUGUAUGUAUUUAUACACACAUGUCUAUCUCUCUCUUUCUCUCUCUCUCUCUCUAUAUAUAUAUAUAUAGAGAGAGAGAGAGAGAGACAGACAGACAGACAGACUUACAGACAAACAGACAGACAGAGAGACACAGACAGCGAUAGAUGGAUAGAUCGAUAGAUAGACAGAUAGAUAGAUAGAUAGAUAGAUAGAUAGAUAGAUAGAUAGAUAGAUAGAUAGAUAGAUAGAUAGAUAGAUAGAUAGAUAGAUAGAUAAAUAGAUAGAUGAGUAUGUAUAUGUAUGUAUUAUAUAAAUUCUCCCACAUUAACAUAAAAACCAGCAUAAACGCAACAACUGGCAAGUAGACAUAUAGUAGACUUUAUCAAAAAUAUUUUAACUUAAGUUUUGCAGAUAGGCACAAACUGUAAUUUGUUUUUUCUAUGUAAUCACCUUUAAGUCAUUUUGCAGUUCGUUGCAUGAACUGAAUGAACAUUCCAGUCAGUUAGGUAAGUUCUUGGUACAUUCAAUAUUUGUAGAGUAAUAACAAGUCUCCUUCAACAAAUUAUGUAGCCAAAUGUUUAACCUUAGGGCCAUAUGCUUAUGUGUGUGUAUAUAUAUAUAUAUAUAUAUAUAUAUAUAUAUAUAUAUAUGUACAGAUAUAUAUAUCCCUUCGUUCUUCUUUUCACUCCCUCGUCGCUCACACGUGACCAUCGCCCAUCUUUCUUUUCCUCAAGCACUGUCCUAGGAACUGGACGUCUUCUAUCACUCUCUUCUAUCUUUUCUCUUUUCAAAGAAAGAAAGUGUCUCCAUCGUUCGCUAUUUUAUCCUCGUUCUGGCCUAAUGACCCUCUAUGUUUGUUUUCGUUCGGUUUCCUUCUAUGUCUUCACUGUCAUGUUUUUGUUCAACUUUGACCCUCGAUAAAUCCAAAAUGUUAUUUUGGUAUUUAUAGGAGCACCUGCCUUCGAGGCCUCUUAUUGUCAUUCAGUGCUCGAAAUGAGGAGCAGAUAGACAGCCGACAACUGAUGAAGGGUCGUUCUUUGUAUUACUUGUCCUGUUUUCCACUUGUUUCUCUCGUUGUUUGCGUAUUGAAUUCAUUUAUUUUCGUAUUUCAUGUUGUUUACAGUUGGUGACAUCCUGUACCCAUAUAUGCAUAUAUAUAAAGAAAUAGAUAGAUAGAUAGAUAUACGCAUGCAUAUAUAUAUUAUUCAUAUCAUAUAUAUAUUAUAUAUAUGUGUGUGUGUCUGUGUGUGUGAGUGUACAGAUAUACAGAUAUAUGUAUAUAUAUAUACUUAUAUAUCUGUGUGCAUGUAUUUGUGUAUAUAUGUAUAUAUGUAUUAUAUAUAUAUAGAUAGAUAAAUCUUUUCUACUCUAGGCACAAGGCCCGAAAACUUUGGGGGGAGAGAGUCGAUUAGAUCGACCCCAGUACGCAACUGGUACUUAAUUUAUCGACCCCGAAAUGAUGAAGGCAAAGUCUACCUCGGCGAAAUUUGAACUAAGAACGUAAAGGCAGUCGAAAUAUCGCAAAGCAUUGCGCCCGGCAUGCUAACGUUCCUGCCAGCUCGCCAUAUAUAUAUAUAUAUAUAUAUAUAUAUAUAUAUAUAUAUAUAUAUAUAUAUAUAUAUAUAUAUAUAUAUGUGUGUGUGUGUGUGUGUGUGUGUGUGUGUUUGUUUGUAUGUAUGUAUGUAUGUAUGUAUGUAUGUAUGUAUGUCUAUAUGCAUAUAUGCAUUAUGCAUGUAUAUAGAAAUCACAUAGUUAUUGACUCGCACAUACGUAUGCGCGGAAUGUUUGUGCAUGUGGUCGUUGUUUAGAAAUUUUGGCCAGUAGCCCAAGCAGUCCGCGCAUAAUUAUUAUUGCCAGUUGAUUAUUAAAUAGUGAAUAAGAAUUUGACCUUUGUUGCUAUCGCUAUGCAAAAUAGUAAUCGUUAGUCCAAACAUAUUAUUCAGUAUAUGAGAAGGGGGUCUAAAUUUUCUGUUAUUUUUGCUGCAAUUUUACGUAUAUAUAUAAUUCUUUACUACCCACAAGGGGCUAAACACAGAGGGGACAAACAAGGACAGACAAACGGAUUAAGUCAAUUAUAUCAAUUAUAUGCGUAACUGGUACUUAAUUUAUCGACCCCGAAAGGAUGAAAGGCAAAGUCGACCUCCGCAGAAUUUGAGCCCAGAACGUAACGGCAGACGAAAUACAGCUACGCAUUUCGCCCGGCGUGCUAACGAUUCUGCCAGCUUGCCGCCUUUAUUUUACGUAUAUAUAGACCGGUGAGCAGAAUCUUUAGCAUCUUAAGAACAUGCUUGGAAACAUUUGUUACCGGUUGCUUACUUUCUGACUUCAAAUGACGCCGAAGUUAUUUAGCCUGUCAUCUUUUUGGUGUCACUACAAUAAAGUAACAAUUAAGCAUUUCGAUUUUGCAAUUGACUGGAUCCCUCUGCUCCAAUCUGCUGGCAUUAUACCAAAUUUUAAAAUAAUUUUAGGCAAAUACAAGGUUGUGAUAGAAACGUUAGUGCGUCAGGAAAAAUGCUUCGCAGCAUUUUGACGAAACCUUUACGUUCUGAUUUCAUAAUCCACUGAAUUGAACUUUGCUUUUCAUUCUUUUCGACUGAUAAAAUAAAGGACUGGUCAAGCAUUGGUGUCGAUGUAAUCGACUGGCCCACACUCUUCAAAAUUGCUGACCUCGUACCGAAAUAAGUAUUGGAGACAAAAUUAGAAAAUCCCUUUAAAUCUGUUUUCUUGUUAUUUUUACCUUCAUGUAAACCUAUUAAGUACAUUCAUUAUGAAAAGAAAAAAAGCCUUCCAACCGUGACUAACCCGUCUAGGAACAUUA